UUUCCUUGAUCUUGAUGAACAAGAUUACAAAUACAGAGAGAAUUCACUUCCCUUUUUAGCUGUGGCUGCAAGUUACAAGAUUUGAAAACUGCAUUGCCCCUCUUCUCUGUUACCUUUUCUGCACAUUACUCUCGGACACACAGUUCCCAGAGCCCUCUGCAUCUCUGAGUUCUGUGACGUCACAUUAGAAAGUUUACACCUGCCAGCCUUUGAACUGUUGAAUAAACUGAAAACCCAGUGAUGUAUACUCUUCCACCUGUGCACAACUAUACCCAGUGACCUUUGUGCAACGACGUGCAUAUAUCAUGAGGCUAACUCAGGUUUUCAAGAAAGAAGAGGUGUGGUGCUAGAAGGGCUUGUCCAAGCCACAGAUACUCGACUUGCACAGGUUUAACUGGAGUACCACUCUCUCAACCUCAACAUUUACUGGAGGAUGAUGAGCUGAACUGACUGGAAGGGGAAGAGGACUGUUUAAAAAUCAAGGAUCCUAGAAGGGAUUGCUGCACAUUUUAAAAG